rnacentral:lncRNA from 1 species
ACAUGGAGAGAACAUCCUGAUCAAUCUGGUCUUUGCUGCUACCCUGGUCAACAGCCUGAGCUGGAUACCUGGCUGACAAGUACCACCUUUUUCCUACACAGAUGACAACCCAGCCCAUGAGCACCAGGAAAAUUAAACAAAAAGCCGAAAGAAAAAAGAAAAGAAGAAGUCUGGGAGUGAAGUUAUAUGCUUAAAGGCAUGCAUCUAGCAAAUGGCAAAAAAAAUGGAUGAAGACACAAGACUGAUUGUCACUAAAAACCAUGUGGUAUGUUUGAGCAAGCCCUUCUCUAGGGAAGACCCAUAAAAUUUGACUCAUGAAGAGAGAGAAAAAAAUUCAGGAGGCGAAAUUAAUACGGGGAGAAAAUGAAAGAGAUUUAGUGCAGCUAUCAACCGACCAUUGUGCUGUCUUUAAGAGUCUGUUGAAACAACAUAAUAAGAGCUCAUUGACCAGAAUUAGCAACAUGGCCCUUCCUAACUAGAAGGGACCAGAAUGGAUAGUCCUUCUAUGUGUCCAGAAGGAGAGAAGGACCAGAUAUGUGUGAUCAUGUCUCCAUUAUGGGAGAAAAGAGAAUUGAAAAAGAAAGAAGAUCCACAUAGUGUCUGAGGAGCUGAGACAAAAGAAAAGAGUUGUUAUGGGGCUCUGAUUAGAAUAUAGAGCAAAUCACAGAGCCUCCUGCUAACAGGUGUGCAGACAAGCGCUAAGAUGAAAUGGGCCAAAUACGAGAGUCAGGAAACUUGUGUGCUGGUUUUACCUGUGACAUAAACCAGCAGUAUGAAUUUGGUCCAAACACGAAAGUGAAGCAGCAAGCAGCCCAUGACAAAUAUGUGCACUGCCAGCUAAUGAAUAUUGGAGAACAUGACACGUUGGAGAGCCCAGUGGGUCUUGAAAGUCUGAGUUCCAGCAAAUUCUCAUGUCUGCAUCGACUGCAGCAAGGUCAAAAGUUGGAAAGCAGGGAUAUUCGAUGCCACUGCUACUCCUUCACUUGCUCAUUCUGCAAAAGUUUGUAGAUCUUCUGCAAGGAGAACGGCAUUGUUAACUACCUACAGGAAGUGACAGGAUGUCACUCUGUCACCUAGACUGGAAUUCAGUGGUGCAAUCAUAGCUCACAGCAGCCUCAACCUCCUGGGCUCAAGCAAUCCUCCAGCCUCCAUCUCCUGAGUAGCUGGAACUACAGGUUUUCCAAUCUGGCGGCUGGGAGCAGGUGUUAUGCUUGCUUCUGUGGCUGCAGGUAGUUUCCUUAGAAUGUCCUGUGUGCUUUUGGUAUGAUCAUUAUGCUGGACUCACAUGAGAGAUGGAAAAGAAUCUCCCUCUGUCAUCCAGGCUGGAGUGCAGUGGCAUGGUUACAGCUCACUGUACCUUUGACCUCUCAGGCUCAAGAGAUCUUCCCACCCUAGCCUCCCAAGUGGCUGUGUCUACAGACAUGACUUUUCUAGAGAAGAUGAGAAGGAACUAAUUUUAAACACCUGGCCUUGGUCUGAUGCAUCCGUUACCUCCACCAGAAAGGAUGGCUAAAGGCAGAAGAGCCUGAGAGAGGAGACCCACGUGGCACACACUGCCGUACACUUCCACAAAGACUGGAUUUUUCCAUAGUCAGAAGGCAGCUGAACUCCAUAGGAUAUGAUGUGAGCAAGAGCAGGU